CAAACAUGAUAACAGAUAACUCAAUUCCUGAUAGUUUGAGAAAUUUUGAACAUUUUUUUUUGAUAUUACAGUAUGGCUCUUUAAGUCAAGUUGUUGAUGGUUUGAGCAAUUUAAUUAUUUCCUUUCAUAUAAGUUUUUAUCUAAAAGAUUAUCUUCCAAUCUCUUGGUAAUUUUUUACUUUCCAUUUAUUUUCUUUCAGUGCGCUUGUUAAUGAAGCUAUCUCUUGAUCUUCAAAGGUCUUCCCUUAUGAAGAAUGCCAUCAAAUCAUUUUCUAUUAUGAUCAUCUGUGCUAACUAGUUCAUAUAUGGAUUAAAAAAUUGAACAAAAGGUGCACAAAAAAUGGUUUUGAUAUACAUAAUGAUUAUAUUUUUAUUAGAUUACUUAAAGAUGGUAUAUUUUUAUUAGAUGGUAUAUUAUUUUAUAAUCUUGUUACAGUUCUGAUAUUUGUUUUCUUUUUUAGUAUUGGGCCAAUUUGUAAAGAUUAUUUUGAUCUAUAACAAGAUUUAAAAUUCUGUUUUCUUGUAGCUGACUGAAUGUAUGCAGAAAUCUUAUAGUAUAGUUUGAAAAGUAUAUAGGAUUUUAUUUUUUCUCUUAUAAGUUAGGAGAUAGGAUCCUCUCCAAUUAUUAUUGGGAGAGUUCUCCAUCCAAUUCUCAUAUCUGGAUUGUCCAUCAGUUCUUUAAAAGACUUCGUUGAUCCACUAACAUGCAAAUACGAGGAUCAUACAACCUAUAUAAUGGACUGACAUGUGACUAAACGGAGACAUGUGCUAAUUACUGGACUUCAUGGACUUACUACUAGUGUCUUGAAAACUACUAUUUCCAGC
rnacentral:lncRNA from 1 species